AACGAACGCUGGCGGCGCGCCUAACACAUGCAAGUCGAGCGAUUAAACUUCUUUCGGGAAGAUAUAAAGCGGCGGACGGGUGAGUAAAGCAUAGGUGACCUGCCUCGAAAUGGGGGAUAGCCUGAAGAAAUUCGGGUUAAUACCGCGUAAGCUGGACAAGUGAAUAUUGUUUAGUAAAGGCUUCGGCCGUUUUGAGAUGGGCCUAUGUAUGAUUAGCUGGUUGGUGAGGUAAUGGCUCACCAAAGCUUCGAUCAUUAGCUGGUCUGAGAGGAUGAUCAGUCACACUGGAACUGAGACACGGUCCAGACUCCUACGGGAGGCAGCAGUGAGGAAUUUUGCGCAAUGGGCGAAAGCCUGACGCAGCGACGCCGCGUGGAGGACGA
rnacentral:rRNA from 1 species